AGAUUAACCUCGAAGGAGAGCAACAACCACAAGAAUCAGGGGAAAUAAAAACUGAGGAAUCAGCAUUGAUGGACUCAGCUACAGCUUCAUUGACUGGCCCCCUUCAGAGCUCCAGAAUUGAAACUACGAAAGUGGCUGAACAAGUCGGCGAAGGGAGAGAACCAAAAGGCAGCACAGAAGAAAAUCAAACCAAAGAACCAGAAGCCAUUCAUGUAGAAGAUGCAAAAAUGGAUGAAGAACAAGACGGAGAUGAACAUAAAAGGAUAGACUCAAGCUCUGAUGCUCCGGUCAUGAUUGAAGCCAAAAGAGAUGUUGUGGAUGUUAGGGUUGCACAACUUGGUCACUGGCAAAGGAUGAGGAACCUAUUUGAAAUAAACUGAAACUAAUGUAUCGUUAUUUACUAAAAAUAAAAAUAUAGGGAACUCAAUGUUAUUUACUCGAUAAUCAAAUAUUUCAAUUUCUCAUAGUUACAUGUCACCUCUCGCAAGUCACAGGACUCUUCGUGACUCGAGUCGCUUCAUUCCCUCUUGCUUGCAGUCUCCGCCCAUUUUUGUAGCACAGAAAAAAAAACUAAUUUUCAUUUUUCAAUUCAAAGUCUGUGACUCUCAUCGAUCCAUAUAACACAACAAAACAACAAAUUUAACACAAAAAAAAGGAAUGUGUAAGCAAGUAUCCAAGAGAAUAGAAGAAAACCGAGCUUACUGAGUUACUUGGAGCUCUGAGACCUUUCGAAGAUCGAAUUAGUGGAAGAAAACAAAACUUCAGCUAACAAGAAAUCCCGAGAAGUCGAAGCGAGAGGGGCGGUGUGCACUUGAGUAGGGUGAGCAAAAUGUGGAGAUCUAAAGCAGGUCUUGUGAGCUUGUGGCAUAAUGACAUGGUGGAUGUUUUGCAUAAUGUAGAUCGUUAGGGUUUCGUAUGGUAUGGGUCUUAGAAUUUGAGCAGUGGUGUUAGGAUUUCUUAUGGCAUGGACCCUUGAAUUUUAGGGCUCGAAGUUUUAGAGGUAUGAAGAAGAAGAAGGAUAUCGCCAGAGAGAUGAGGCGGCUGGCCAUGAAUUUAGGAGUUAGGGAAUUUUAUGUUUAUGUUGAUUUAGGGUUUUUUGCUUUUGCUUUUAUAUUGUUGUUUUCUAUAUUAAUUUAAUUUGAUAAUUUCAACAUUAUCAACACAAACUAAUUUAUGAAUUUGGCCUGGUGGUUUGUUCGUUGAACAUAAAGCACUUUAGUUUUGAGGUCCUAGGUUCGAGUCGCAACUGAAAAUAGAUUUUUUUUUAUUUCUGAUACCUUAGUGUCGACGAUCUCUGAUGUUUAAUGUACAAACACCAUAGAAUCAGUAAUUUGUGACACUUGUUUGUUAAACACGGAAAAUGACCCAAAUAUAUGUAAUUACUGAUACUUUUUAGAAAAGUGUCACAAGACAAGUAUCAGUAAAAGCUAUUUUUCUAGUAGUGUUAAGAGAUAUAUGUUAUGAACAACUACAUUUAUUUUAAUAAAUUCAUAACACUCCCUCUUAGAUGUUCAUUAUAAAGAAUAU
rnacentral:lncRNA from 1 species